rnacentral:tRNA from 1 species
UCUAAUGUGGCAGAUUAGUGCAAUGGGUUUAAGCUCCAUACAUAAAGAAUUCUUUCUUUAGAA